GGCCGCCAGGAGCCGCGGGCGCGCGGCCCCCUCCAGCGCCAGCCACGUUGACACCCCCCCGCGGUCUGCCAGCUCUGGGGACGAGGCGUCGCUCAGCUUCUCCACGGGCUCUUUCUCCCGGGGCCACAGUGUUGAAGGCUUUAAAAUAGCAGAAAACAAAAAGCAGUCACCUGUGACAGAUAAUCUCUCACCGUGGGAAGAAUGGUUUAUUUGCAAAGAGAGAGAGCUACGUGCCCGUUUACAAGCCAGAGCUAUGGAGGAAAUUAAUCAACAACUGGAGAAAAGAAAAGAAAAGCAGGAACUUGAAAGAAGAAAAAAGAUUGCAGAAGAGAAACACAAGCAAUGGGUACAGAAAAAGAAUGAAGAGGUAAAUACUGUUUUAAUUCAAUAUCACUUACAAUUCUUAAAGAUAACUGGAUUUAGAAAUGAG
rnacentral:lncRNA from 1 species